rnacentral:snoRNA from 1 species
UCAUUUGAUGAUUCUUUAAUCGCUGUGUUCUUUCUGAAUACUACAUAUAUGGAGAAAAAAACAAGAUUCACCUUGGAGAACUGAUAC